rnacentral:rRNA from 1 species
UACGUAGGCAGCAAGCGUUGUUCGGAAUUACUGGGCGUAAAGAGUGUGUAGGCGGUGCUCUAAGUUUGGUGUGAAAUCUCCCGGCUCAACUGGGAGGGUGCGCCGGAUACUGAGGGGCUAGAGUGUGGGAGAGGAAAGUGGAAUUCCUGGUGUAGCGGUGAAAUGCGUAGAUAUCAGGAGGAACACCGGUGGUGUAAACGGCUUUCUGGACCAUAACUGACGCUGAGGCACGAAAGCGUGGGUAGCAAACAGG